rnacentral:rRNA from 1 species
UACGUAGGGGGCAAGCGUUGUCCGGAUUUAUUGGGCGUAAAGAGCGUGUAGGCGGUUGGGUAGGUCCGUUGUGAAAACUCGAGGCUCAACCUCGAGACGCCCGAUGGAAACCCCCCAGCUAGAGUCCGGAAGAGGAGAGUGGAAUUCCUGGUGGUAGCGGGUGAAAUGCGCAGAUAUCAGGAAGAACACCCGUGGCUAAGGCGGCUCUCUAGUACGGU